UUUUCUUCUGGCAUGCCCUACAUUGAUUACUUCUGAAUAUAGUUCCCUAUAUUUUAGUUAGGAGACUGAAAGACAGAAUGGAGUUUUACAUUAGAUACUUAAAAUACUUAGUUUAUCACUUUCCAUGGAUAUCUUCAAGUAUUGUCUGUGAACAAACUACCUGUUGUAUUCUUCUUGUACUUAUUUCAAGGUCUAGUCUCCCAUUUGGUAAUUGAAAACAAGGUUCAACAGAGCUGCAGAAAAGCCUGUGACUUUCACAUAAGAUUUCUGUUUGAUAUGCAAUAAACUGCUCUUUUUCUGAGGAAAGGCCCCUUUUUACCAUCACAGGAUUUCAUGGCAUAGAUGACACAGAAACUUUGAUGAGAAUCAGAAUCUUCCUGGCAGGUUCCACAGGUCUGGAGCUUAGGGAUGCUCAAUCAGUUUGAAUCUAGAAAUGCAUUUUCUAUUUUGUGCAUCAGCUGAUAGCUGUAUGAAAUUCUCAACAGAGAACAAGUGCAACUACCAAAUUAUGUUGUUAUGAUGCUGAAAGCCCAAACAUAUUUGAGGAAUACAUCCACCUCUACUAAGCUUGCUAGUCGCACCACAACAUGCAAGGCUUCAAGAUAAAACAAGUCCUUUAGACUGUAAAGCUCAACAAAGUUUCAAGCCUCAAAACGAAAGUUUACAUUUCUCAGAUUGGGUCAGUCAUUCCAGUGACUUGCCACUGCAAGCAGUAUUCUGGGAUGCCCUCCAUUCCCUGUUAUGAUAACUUUCAGUAACACUGUUCUAGUGUCACGAAUCUUCUCUGGAGCCUAGAUGAAAUUAAAAGGUCAAGUCAAAAGGCUUCCUGUGCAAUGACAGGGAAACAUCAAGCACAGUGAUGGAUGUAGUUUGAAAAGUGGAGUAAUGUGAUGCACAGAAUAGUCUUUUAUCAUUAUGCAAAAUAAUAGCUGUAAAUUGUUUGCUUUGCAUGAGUACUUUUUAAAAAAAGAUAAUAGACCCACUUCUACCUACUAUUUCCGUGACUAAAAAAUGCCCCCAAAAUGGUAAUGUCUUUUUCACUGCUCCCAUGAAGCUAGAGGAUACAAUACUCAUGAUGUUCAUAAGCUUCCUGAAACUUCAUAUUGCCUUGGUGGCAUACC
rnacentral:lncRNA from 1 species